GACCGAUUUGGUGCGUGAGGCCUUGACUGCUCCUACAAACAGGAACCAAGCCCUCUCCCCUGAGAUGAAGGUCCUCGUAACACUGAGGUAUCUUGCUACGGGCAAAAUGCAGCAGUGUAGCAGCGACGACUUGGGGCCUUCACAACAGACCGUCAGCAGGGUCACCCGGGAGACUGUGUACGCCCUUGCACAGCCUCAUAUAGUGAGACGCUUCAUCAAGUUCCCCCUCACUGUGCAAGAAACUCAGGUGAAGCGGCGAGAGUUUGAGGAAAUUGCGGGAUUUCCUGGUGUGGUAGGGGCAGUAGACGGAACACAUGUGAGGAUUGUUGCACCCAAGGAAUUUGAGGCAGAGUAUGUGAACAGAAAAGGGCACCACUCUAUAAAUGUGCAAAUCGUAUGUGACACACGGGAGAAUUUUACACCAAACUGCAAACUGGCCCGGGUCUGUCCAUGACGCACGUAUCUUGCGUGAAAGUGCUCUGUUCACAGGGUUCGAGAGGGGUAUGGUCCCUGCAGGAUGCCACUUAUUGGGAGACAGUGCCUACCCCUCCAAGAAGUGGCUCCUGACACCCUAUGUACGACCUCAGCCGGGCCCACAGUCCGCCUAUAAUAGAGCACACAAAAGGACAAGGAGCACAGUGGAGAGGGGGAUUGGCCAGUGGAAGCGGAGAUUUCAUGUGCUCCAUGGUGAAAUCAGAGUCAGCCCUCCUGCAUAUGUGUGUAGAAUAACACAGGUGUGUGCUAUUUUUGCACAAUAUCUACAAAGACAGACGCCUCCCUGUACCCGAGGAAGGAGAGGACGAGGGUGAUGGUGCAGUUCUUCAUGAGGACCCACCUGUCCCACUACCACCUGUACCUGGACGAGUUCGGGAAGGUCUGCGCUACAGGGAUGAGUUUGUCAACUUCACUUCAUUGACAGACCCCAACUUCAGCCUCGUGCAGCUGUGUGAGGCUUCCCGACCCAUCAACAGGUUAAUUCCACACCUACUUCCA